rnacentral:rRNA from 1 species
GAAUAUUGCGCAAUGGGGGAAACCCUGACGCAGCAACGCCGCGUGAGUGAAGAAGGUUUUCGGAUCGUAAAACUCUGUCUUUGGGGAAGAAUACAUGACGGUACCCAAGGAGGAAGCCCCGGCUAACUACGUGCCAGCAGCCGCGGUAAUACGUAGGGGGCAAGCGUUGUCCGGAAUUAUUGGGCGUAAAGGGCGUGUAGGCGGUAUCGUAAGUCAGGUGUGAAAGUUUGAGGCUUAACCUCAAAAUUGCACUUGAAACUGCAAUACUUGAGUACUGGAGAGGUAAGUGGAAUUCCUAGUGUAGCGGUGAAAUGCGUAGAUAUUAGGAGGAACACCAGUGGCGAAGGCGACUUACUGGACAGUUACUGACGCUGAGGCGCGAAAGCGUGGGGAGCAAAC